CUACUUUUGUUCUUCUUUCUUCCGUUUUCUUUUGGAUUUUUCUUUGUUGUUUUUCUGGUUUUUGGAAAGAGUUGUUUGGUUAUUUUGUGAUUAGUCAUUUGUAUACAAUCAUUGGCAGUGUCUCUGAAUGGGAAUGUAGUUCAUGCUUUACUCAGUGUUCAGUUAAUCUAUCUUUCAGUAUAUGAUGGUUAUCAAUGUGAUUUAGUGCGGUUUUGGCUUAAUUUAAGUUUAUUGCAUUCUGACUGGUGCUGGCUGCCAUUCUUGAUUUUCUCAACUGCUCUAUAUAAUGAAUGUGGCCAUUUGUGUAUAAUUAUUGGCAGUGUAUGUGAAUGGCAAUAUAGUUGAUGCCUUCCUCGCAGUGUUCAAUUGAUAUUUCUUUCGGUUAAGCAGUGGUCAUGCUGCGUUUUCUUUUGGCAAUCUCAUUCUUUUAAUCAGUUACGCUUGUAAACAAACUGUUAUAGGUCUAUAGUUUUGGAAGUGUAGUUGUUACAUCAUUGUUCAGCCUCUUUGAAAUUUCUUUCUGCAUUAUUUGUCAAUUCACAAACCUUGAAUCUUAUUUCAGCAGUUUAAAAUGGAAGAUCGAGGUCCAACUCCUCUUGAUCGACUGGUCGCGUAUGAAAAAAUUGAAAAAAAUUAAAGUUCGUAUCUGCAGAAUAUGGAGACCAAGAUUUUCAGUGUUUGGUUAUCAAGGAACAAGCAAUAGAAGUGUCUUCUGACGAAAUGGACUAUGAUAUAAUAGUCUCAAAAAUUGAAGUAGGUGCUUGCUACGAGAUUAUGAAUUUUCGUAUCAACAAAAUGAGAGGCCAAUAUCGAGUAGUCCCGCAUGACACCCAUAUCGUGUUAACCAGCAGAACAGUUUUUAACAAGUUGACAAAUGUGUUUCCGCUUAUUCCGCAUCACAGAUUUUUUUUGCAAGAUUAUAAUAGAUUGUAUCCUAGGCUGAACAAGACUGAUAUCCUAAAAGAUGUUAUUGGUCAUGUGGUUGGAGUCCAGCGUUUGGAGCCCGUAAAAGUGAACCGAAGAAUUGAUCACAAGUGUGAUGUGGUUAUUCAAAAUAUCAGAAAAGACGAAGCUAAGAUUACAUUGUGGUCAAACAUUGUACACAACUUUACUUCUUUAACGUUCCAUUCACUGCCUGAAGCAAGAAUUAUUGUUUUUACGAGCUUGAAAGUCAAGCUAUUUGGAGGCAAGAGAAACUGAUGCUUUACAGACUGGAAAAAUGGUUACAAUUGAAGAGUUGGGCUACUUAGACCCAGAUUUAUAUAAGGAUGACACAUUUUUGUGCAAGGCAUCAAUUAAGCGGUUUAACACAUCAUAUGAAUGGUGGUAUGAUGCUUGCCCUACAUAUGCCAAACAAAUGUACAAGGACCCAGCAACUGGUCAACUGAUGUGCUAAAAACAUACAAAUCAAAUGCCAACUCCUUGGUACAUAGUGUUCUUGCUCCUUCAAGACGAAACAAAUGAGAUCAAUGCUCUCAUUAUCGGCAAAUCAGGCGAAAAGGUCUUUGGCAAGCCUUGCAAAGAUUUGGUUUACAAUCAAAGAUCAACAGAUCACAAGCAAUUGUCAAGUGAGUUUCUCAGACUUAUAGGCCAAAGGAAAAAUUUUCACCUCUGAUUUGGAAGCUGACGAAAUUUGUUGAAUUCAAAUGAUCUCCUUAUCUACAAUGCUUAUGAGGACACAAUGAUCCAACCAACAACACCAAAGUCUAUUAUGAAAGAAAUUGCAGUGUCUUCGACAACAGUUUCAUCGUCCACUACACCAGCUGAAAAAACCGGACAAACGCACAAGUGGAAAAGAGAUUCAAUCAAGAGAGCCCUUUUUACAGAGCCUGAAAACAGUGAGACAGAGGAAGUCUCUGAAGAAGACGUGCAGGAUUUUGAUCAGCUUCCAAUCAAAUUGUUGAAAAAAACAUCUUUUCCAACAAGCAUGAAAAAAGACCCUCCUCUACCAAAAAAAAACUAGGAAACGGUGUUGUUCAUUUUUCCCAAGUGUUGUGUUGCCAUUUUCGCACUGGUUCUACUUCUGGGUAAAUGAAAAAUAUAGCUCCAACUCCUAUCGAUAAAUUACAGCCAUAUAUAAAGCUAGCGAAGUUAAGAGUCUGAAUGUGCAGGAUAUGAAAACCAUCGAUUCCCGGAGCUGCUCAAACAUAAGCAAAGCAGGUGAUUUAUAAUAAGUGACUUUUUCUUUGUUCUUUAUUGUGCUACCGAACUGAAUUUUAGUAUAUGUAUAAUUUAUCAUUGUACAUUUUUUUUAAAUUUUUCUGUGAUAACAAACAAUAAAAAUUUUAUACCUUCUUAACUUUUUAAACCCAUGUUUAUCUGAUAGGAAGACAAAAAAAUAUUUAAAAAAUGUGAUUAAAACCGGGCCACAUGAUUUGUGGCAUAACAAACAAUAAAAAUUGAUACCCGCCCACUUGUCAGUCAUCGCCACAAGGUGGUAUCUCUACUUUUGUUCUUCUUUCUUCUGUUUUCUUUUCAAUUCUUCUUUGUUGUUUUUCUUUGCUUCUCUUGCUUUUGGUUGUCGUUUGCUUUCUUCGUUGUCUUUGUUUGCUUCUCUCGCUCUUGCCAAUCCUUUUCUUUUGUUUUUGAAUGGUUCUCAACACCUGAACCAAGUGAUCAAUCUUAUAAACGAAAAAGAGAAUCUGUGAGAAUAGCGCUUUUCAUUCCUGGUGAACAAAGGUUUGAUAUCUAAUUUCAUACUAUUCUCAAAUAUGAUGUUUAUAUUUUUACAUCAUGUUGUAAAAAAUUUCCAUGUGUGCACUUCAACUUUCUUAAAAUUUACAUAUCAAACAUUUUCAAUACUAUGAAUUAUAACUAGGAACCAUCUUUUCUUCUUUCUGAGAAAAACUAUAUUAAUGUUGCAUAAUCAUUCAACUCAAUGAAUCUGAAGAAAUUUCAAAAGUUGAUCCAAGAGAUUGUGAUGAGGUUCCGAUCAAGUUAUUAAAAAAAAAAAUACCUCCUACUCAGGCAAAGCCACACAGCAGCACUGGAAACAAUGAUUUGUUGCUUUAUCAAUUACAACAAGGGCUGAAGACACCUUUCACUACUCUGAUCAAGAAAGUUUACCAUGUUUUGUUUAUCUAUAUUAAAUCAUGUUUAACAUGUUUAAAAACUUGUACAUAUCUUUUUUUGCCCAAAACUCAACAAUAUUUUUUGCAUCCCCAUACAACAGCAUCUCCUCAUUUUUUGUAUGCAAAAGCUAGAAUACACUAUAUUACAUGGGGUUAUUAGAAGAAAUUCAGUUAUUAUAAUGUUUUUUGUAUCUUUAUACCAGGAAUUUCUAUUUUUUGUAACUGAAUGUAAUCCUCCUGGUCCAGAAAUACGUAGAACUGCUACAAUACCAGUUAACGCUUUUCCAAA